rnacentral:rRNA from 1 species
AUUGAACGCUGGCGGCAGGCUUAACACAUGCAAGUCGAGCGGGGGGAGGUAGCUUGCUACCUAACCUAGCGGCGGACGGGUGAGUAAUGCUUAGGAAUCUGCCUAUUAGUGGGGGACAACAUUUCGAAAGGGAUGCUAAUACCGCAUACGCCCUCAGGGGGAAAGCAGGGGAUCUUUGGACCUUGCGCUAAUAGAUGAGCCUAAGUCGGAUUAGCUAGUUGGUGGGGUAAAGGCCUACCAAGGCGACGAUCUGGAACGGGUCUGAGAGGUUGAUCCGCCACACUGGGACUGAGACACGGCCCAGACUCCUACGGGAGGCAGCAGUGGGGAAUAUUGGACAAUGGGGGGAACCCUGAUCCAGCCAUGCCGCGUGUGUGAAGAAGGCCUUUUGGUUGUAAAGCACUUUAAGCGAGGAGGAGGCUACCGAGAUUAAUACUCUUGGAUAGUGGACGUUACUCGCAGAAUAAGCACCGGCUAACUCUGUGCCAGCCGCCGCGGUAAUAC